CAAGUCGAGCGAGGCGGCCCGCAAGGGCCAGUCGAGCGGCGAACGGGUGAGUAACACGUGGAUUAUCUGCCCUAAGGUGGGGGAUAACCCGGGGAAACUCGGGCUAAUACCGCAUGAUACCGAAAGGUCAAAGGGGGGUCGCAAGAUCUCUCGCCAUUGGAGGAGUCCGCGUCCGAUUAGCUAGUUGGUAGGGUAAUGGCCUACCAAGGCGACGAUCGGUAGCCGGCCUGAGAGGGUGAUCGGCCACACUGGAACUGAGACACGGUCCAGACUCCUACGGGAGGCAGCAGUGGGGAAUUUUGCGCAAUGGGCUAACGCCUGACGCAGCAACGCCGCGUGGAGGAUGAAGGUCUUUGGAUUGUAAACUCCUGUCAGCAGGGAAAAAGCGACUCGUGCUCAUACCACGGGGAGUUGAUUGUACCUGCAGAGGAAGCCCCGGCUAACUCUGUGCCAGCAGCCGCGGUAAUACAGAGGGGGCAAGCGUUAUUCGGAAUUAUUGGGCGUAAAGGGCGCGUAGGCGGCCUUGCAAGUGGAUGGUGAAAUCCCUCGGCUUAACCGAGGAACUGCCAUCCAGACUGCUUGGCUUGAGACCGGGAGAGGUGAGUGGAAUUCCCAGUGUAGCAGUGAAAUGCGUAGAUAUUGGGAGGAACACCAGUGGCGAAGGCGGCUCACUGGACCGGUACUGACGCUGAUGCGCGAAAGCGUGGGGAGCAAACGGGAUUAGAUACCCCGGUAGUCCACGCCGUAAACGAUGAGUGCUUGGUGUAGCGGGUAUCGACCCCUGCUGUGCCGAAGUCAA
rnacentral:rRNA from 1 species